rnacentral:rRNA from 1 species
UACGGAGGAUGCGAGCAUUAUCCGGAUUUAUUGGGUUUAAAGGGUGCGUAGGCGGGCUUUUAAGUCAGCGGUAAAAAUUCGGGGCUCAACCCCGUCCGGCCGUUGAAACUGGGGCCUUGAGAGGGCGAGAAGAAGGCGGAAUGCGUGGUGUAGCGGUGAAAUGCAUAGAUAUCACGCAGAACCCCGAUUGCGAAGGCAGCCUUCCGGCGCCCUACUGACGCUGAGGCACGAAAGUGCGGGGAUCGAACAGG